UUUUUCAAUGCCGCGGGAUGUGAAAGUAACUAUUUCAGAAUCGAUGAUGACACACUACAAGGAGAUCUUGCUUCUGUGGACAUAGCUACCACAAAGAACUUGAACAAUCUUAUGGAAGCGGGCAAGAAGCUGCUCAAGAAAACUGUUACUUGCAUCAACUUGGCCACGGGUCUCUUCGAACCCAUUCCAAAUGGUCCCUCCAACCAGGAAGAACUCAAAAGAUUUGCGAACCUACUUUCCGACUAAAGGAGGCUCCGACUGGC